CCUACGGGAGGCAGCAGUGGGGAAUAUUGGGCAAUGGGCGCAAGCCUGACCCAGCAACGCCGCGUGAAGGAAGAAGGCCCUCGGGUUGUAAACUUCUUUUAUUCGGGACGAAACAAAUGACGGUACCGAAUUAAUAAGCCACGGCUAACUACGUGCCAGCAGCCGCGGUAAUACGUAGGUGGCAAGCGUUAUCCGGAUUUACUGGGUGUAAAGGGCGGGUAGGCGGGAGGGCAAGUCAGACGUGAAAUUCCAGGGCUCAACCCUGGAACUGCGUUUGAAACUGUUCUUCUUGAGUGAUGGAGAGGCAGGCGGAAUUCCGUGGGUAGCGGUGAAAGGCGUAGAUAUACGGAGGAACACCAGUGGCGAAGGCGGCCUGCUGGACAUUAACUGACGCUGAGGCGCGAAAGCGUGGGGAGCAAACAGGAUUAGAUACCCGAGUAGUC
rnacentral:rRNA from 1 species